rnacentral:rRNA from 1 species
UACGUAGGGGGCUAGCGUUGUCCGGAUUUAUUGGGCGUAAAGAGCGUGUAGGCGGCUAGGUAGGUCUGGUGUGAAAACUCGAGGCUCAACCUCGAGACGUCGGCGGAAACCAUCUGGCUAGAGUCCGGAAGAGGAGAGUGGAAUUCCUGGUGUAGCGGUGAAAUGCGCAGAUAUCAGGAAGAACACCUAUGGCGAAGGCAGCACUCUGGGACGGUACUGACGCUGAGACGCGAAAGCGUGGGGAGCGAACAGG